GUGCGAGACCGAUAGCGAACAAGUACCGUGAGGGAAAGAUGAAAAGAACUUUGAAAAGAGAGUUAAAGAGUACCUGAAACUGCUGAAAGGGAACCGAAUCGUAUCCAGUGUCUAUAAUCCAUGGCAUAUUUCAUUGGCGAGUGAGUGCGUGCAGCGUUUUGGAAGUGGUUUUCCGCUCCUGUCGUUGUUGUGCAUUUGCUUGCUGGUGCCCUGUGCUGUGGUGGGACGUCAGAGUCAGUUUGUAUGUUGCGGGAAAUGGUUACUGGGGAGGUAGGUCACUUCGGUGGCUGUUAUAUCCUGGUAACUAGUCGUCGUGGCUGAGACUGAGGUGCCUACAAUGUGCUUUCGAGUGUGCGGGAUUCUCGUGUGGCUGUUUGCUUUGAUAGCUUGCUAUGUUGGUGAAUAAGUCGUGCGAUUGAGACUUGUAUUAACUUGUUGCUGUUCGGGACUUUGAA
rnacentral:rRNA from 2 species